ensembl:lncRNA
GAGGUGAGAGCCAUUCAAAGCAAACUAACUGUGCUAUUGCGUCCAAGUUGAUACCUGUGGAGAGGAAAGGAAAGAGAGAGUGAGUAACACAAGGAGAAACAGAGGAAACCUGUACUUACAGUACGCUGUGUUCAGCCCAGAGGUGAGAGCCAUUCAAAGCAAACUAACUGUGCUAUUGUGCCCAAGUUGAUACCUGUGGAGAGAAAAGGAGAGAGAGUGGGUAACACGAGGAGAGACCGAGGAAACCUGUACUUACGCCGCUGCCUGUGGAGAAAGAGAAAGCGACCGUUGCCUGUGGAGGAAGAGAAAGAGACCGUUGCCUGUGGAGGAAGAGAAAGAGAGUGAGCACCCCGAGAACGAACUGUGUGAACCAGUACUUACCGUGAGCUGUAUUCAGCGAAGAGGAGGAAGAAGGAGGGCGCUACGGAUACCUAAGACUCAGGCCGGGGCCCGAGUCCCACGCCCCGGAUCCCCGUGGCCCCCUUGCUCCCUGACCUCUUCCCGGCCAUAGCCCAUCUGGAGGGCCGAGUCAGAGUUUAGUUUUAAUUGACCUUUCCCUAUUCCCCAAGCUAUUUUUAAAUAUUUAAAUAAAGAUUGUUUUAUCACUUACUUGUUCUCGUGUUGUUUGGCCAUUGGGUUGGCUUUGGGGACCUCCUCGAGGUGGAAGUUGAGAAGGGGUGUGGCUUAGUCAAAGCAUAGCCAGCCCCUGGGUGUGACAUAUGUA